GCUCACACCUUCACAAACCCACCGUGAACCUUCACGGCGGAAGGAGGGAGACCUCCCGAAGCCGCAUACCAAACUCCAGUUGCAAAGAAUGUCGUGUGGGCUUUGCGCCACCUAAAACACAAAACAACUUUCAACAACGGAUCUCUUGGCUCUAGCAUCGAUGAAGAACGCAGCGAAAUGCGAUAAGUAAUGUGAAUUGCAGAAUUCAGUGAAUCAUCGAAUCUUUGAACGCACCUUGCGCUCCUUGGUAUUCCGAGGAGCAUGCCUGUUUGAGUGUCUUGAAGUCAUCAACCCCUUCCGUUUCGUGCGGACUGGGUUGGAAGUGGGGGCUUUGCUGCCGUGAGGCGGCUCCCCUCAAAUGUAUCGGUUGGGCCUGUGGGUCGAACUCGACUGGGCGUUGUACCAUCCUCGCUCGACAGAGACGUUCCCCUGUUGUGCCCUUCCCCGACCUGCCUCUCAGAGUGGCGGUCAACAUAUUUGAAAUCUGACCUCAAAUCAGGUAGGACUACCCGCUGAACUUAAGCAUAUCAAUAAGCGGAGGA
rnacentral:rRNA from 1 species